GAGUGGCGCCCCCGAAAGCGUGACAUUUUGAUAGUAAGGGUAUUAUAAUGAACCCUAAUCUCUUGUCACCGUUCAUCUUCCACCUCUCUCAUACAUCUCUUUGCUGCCGCCCAUUGCAGCUCAUCUCCUCAUCGGUGUCGCCACUGCAAACAAUGUCAUUGUUGCUGCCGUUAACAAGCUCUGCGAUUCGGUUGCGCCUUCUCUGUCACUUCCAAUAGGAACAAAUAGAGAAUGCUUUCUCACUGAGUUGCGCCAGCAAAUCAGAUCCACCAAAAUGUUUGACAGCAUCAUCGGUCAAAGAUUCGUCGCGAAAUGGUUCUGUACUUUGUUUUCUCUGUUUCUGGUCUUCCUUCUUCAUGCCUUUCAUUUAUUGCGGUUAUGCUGAUUGUGAUUUUCAAUUUCUUAUUUUAUCUCCUUUUAUUUUUUCUGUGUAUCGUUGAUUAAAUAGACGAAGCUUAGAAUCCAAUCGAUGUGAUAAGGAGAAAAAAGACUGCGAUGGAGAAGUUUAUUAAGAUCUUCUUGCAGUAUUCUUUUUUUCUGCUUUUGUUUUUGUUGAUUCGGUUACGAUAGAUAGAUGAAAUUCUUCACUGGAGUUGAUAAAUGAAUUCAUCAAUGCACAACUUUAGAAGAAUGUGCUAGUUUUAGUCUUAUGUGAUUUAACUAUAGUUAAAAGAUUUUGAGACAUUGUUUUAUUUUUAGAAUGGAAAUUGAUUGAGCUGAGAAAAUGUGUCUAUUUCUAAAAUCUGAUGCAUAUGAAUGAUGAAAGACUCUGAUGUUAGUAUUCUUGUUUAGUUGGAAGUGAAGUUUGGAGAGCUUCUAUAAAGUUGUGUAGAAGGGCAGGUUUUUGAUAUACUUGGAUAAAGCUUUUUUUUUUUUUUAAUCAAGUUUGAUGUCUUUUUGGCUCUACUUGAGUGCUCUAACAAUGACAUUCAACCUGUAAGGAGAAUGCAAUCUUGCUUGAAAGGGUGAAAACAUUAAAAUGAGAGCUUGAAGACCAAAAGUUCAAGUGCAAUUUAAGAUAUAUGAAGUAAUCAAGAAAGCAUUGAUGAUGUGAAGUGGACAUUGUUAUUAUCAUCAUGUCAUUCUCCUCUGGAUUAUUUUUUAUAGUUUUACAUUGUUUUAUUUAAUUUAGAAAAAAAAAUAGCAACAUUUUGCAUGCCUCAUAUGUGUUAGAAAAUAUGCGAAAGCAUAAUAAAAAUAUAUAUUUUUA